UACGAAGGGGGCUAGCGUUGCUCGGAAUCACUGGGCGUAAAGGGUGCGUAGGCGGGUCUUUAAGUCAGGGGUGAAAUCCUGGAGCUCAACUCCAGAACUGCCUUUGAUACUGAAGAUCUUGAGUUCGGGAGAGGUGAGUGGAACUGCGAGUGUAGAGGUGAAAUUCGUAGAUAUUCGCAAGAACACCAGUGGCGAAGGCGGCUCACUGGCCCGUAACUGACGCUGAGGCAC
rnacentral:rRNA from 1 species